rnacentral:tRNA from 1 species
GUUUUAAUAGUUUAAUUUAAAAUAAUGAUCUUGUAAGUCAUAGAUAGGAAUAACCUUUAAAACU